AUUAAAACAAAAGUCGAAUGCUUCUUCAUAUUACAAUAUUUGAGAUAAUGAUGUAGAAAUGUCUUCAUUGUCUCUUACCCAUCCUCCCAUUCUGAGAAUCCAUUCCAACAGAUUCCUCCUGAAGUAAUCCAGACUUAAGAUCAAAAUAUCUGAAACAAUUGUGGGUAAGUGUGCAAGGACCAUCUAUUGAGAGGAAAAAGAGAUAUAUAAAGAGAUAUAAACAUGAAGAUGCAUGCCUACAAACAACAGGUAUAUUAACAGAAAUGUUAACAAGACAACAGAAAUAUCUAGGAUUUAAAUAAUCCAAUACCUUUCCAGACAGUUUUCCAACUGAAUAGAACAGCACUAUAAUUCUCCCCCAGUUGAUCUGGCCAUCUGUGAAAACCUUCUCCACAAGUUCCCAGAAACUUCUUUUAUCAGCCACUUUUACUAAGCCAUCAAUCAUGCUGUGAGGUCAGAAGAACAAAAAAGUGAAGCCUGGUGUUUUAAAACCAGUACAGACUAAAGAGAGACAAAGAUUCAGAGCUCAGACUGACUCAUUGAAUGAUUUAUCCUGAUCGAGCCUAUCACCAAUCAUUUUGAUGGUCUCCGCCAACUGUUCAACAAGCUUCUGGUCCUGGCAGUUGCUUAUUGGUCUAGCUUCAGGAAGGGCUGGCGGGGCUGCAUGCAUUUCGGC